rnacentral:rRNA from 1 species
UACAGAGGCCCCAAGCAUUACCCGGAAUCACUGGGCGUAAAGGAUGUGUAGGCGGUCGUAUUAGUCUUUCGUGAAAGCUCUCGGACUCAAUCCGGGAAACGCGGGGGAAACGGUACGACUUAGAAGAUGCGAGAGGUACAGGGAACUCAUGGUGUAGGGGUGAAAUCCGUUGAUAUCAUGGGGAACACCAAAUGCGAAGGCACUGUACUGGCGCACUCUUGACGCUGAAACAUGAAAGCGUGGGAAUCGAACGGG